ACGAUCUUUCUUAAUCACAUCAUGAAUCAUUUGCUUAUGUGGUGUAUUUUUUUUUAUUUUAAGAAAACAUUUUACUCUGUUGAUUUAAAUAUAUAGAUUUCACAACAUAUACCGUAUUUUGGUCUUGAAAGAUUCACACUAAACCCUAAAAUAAACCAUAAACUUUUGAAACCUAAACCUUAAACACUAAAAUAAAUCUAAAUGUCAACAAACAUAAACUCUAUACCACAAAUCAGAGAACAUGUAAAUUUUUUCAUGUGAAUCACAUAUUUAUCAAAUUUUGUGUACCAAACGACAUAUAUUACUCAAACAAUUUCAUAUGUAAUUAAAACAUAGAACAUGUAAAUUUUGUAUAUACAAUAAACUUCAGAAUAAUAUGAUUCGAAAACAUACCAUAUGUUUUCACAAAGGAGUUGGUAACCAAACCGAAAUUAGAGGAUAACAUCCUAACGAGUUUUGAUUAGGAUAACCACAUAACAUAUUAAGAAAAACCGAAGAUUAAGAAGGUGGUAAUUAAAAACGGCUAAGGAAAGCUAAUCCUGCAUUAGCCAUGUCAACAAGUUUAGACUAGAGAGGCUUAAUGAUGAGUCACUUAUGACUGGACAUCCUAAAUCCUAAACAUUAAAAGUUAGCUGAGUCACAAUAGCAAGCUAAUCAGCCAAUUAAAUUAUAAUGAUUUCACUUAAGCGUGUUAUCAAUUAAUAAUAUGAUACAUGAAAAAAAUUAUUGGCUCAUUUAAAAUUAAAGACAAUAUUUUAUUAGUAGAUAAAAAUAGAAUUUUAAAUUAAUAGAAAAUAGAAAAAAUUAAUUAAAGCACGUGGAUUUGAGUUAGUCAACGUUACAUAAAAAUUACUAACAACGUAAUUUUAAAAUUUUUAGAAUCAUCAAAAAUAUUGCAACAAUCCAAAAUAUGAAAACAUAACAAUUUUAAAGUGUACAAUCCGCGAGUAGCCCUGACGAAAUAUCUAGUUAUUUAUAGAAAUGUAUAAACUAAACUCCACC
rnacentral:lncRNA from 1 species